UAGAUUUACUUUUGCUUGUCUUG
rnacentral:snRNA from 1 species